rnacentral:rRNA from 1 species
GACGAACGCUGGCGGCGUGCUUAACACAUGCAAGUCGAACGGAAAGGCCCUGCUUUUGUGGGGUGCUCGAGUGGCGAACGGGUGAGUAACACGUGAGUAACCUCCCCUUGACUUUGGGAUAAAUUCAGGAAACUGGGGCUAAUACCGGAUAGGAGAUCCUGCUGCAUGGUGGGGGUUGGAAAGUUUCGGCGGUUGGGGAUGGACGCGCGGCUUAUCAGCUUGUUGGUGGGGUAGUGGUAUACCAAGUCUUCGACGGGUAGGCCGCCUGGGCGGGUGGCCGGCCACAUUGGGACUAAGAGACGGCGCAGACGCCUACGGGAGGCAGCAGGGGGGAAUAUUGCACAAUGGGCGGAAGCGUGAUGCAGCAACGCCGCGUGCGGAAUGACGUCCUUCGGGUUGUGAACCGCUUUCGCCUGUGAUGAAGCGUGAGUGACGGUAAUGGGUAAAAAAGCACCGGCUAACUACGUG